rnacentral:rRNA from 1 species
AGUGCAUGUGGUGGAUGCCUUGGCAGUCAGAGGCGAUGAAAGACGUGAUAGCCUGCGAAAAGCUCCGGGGAGGCGGCAAAUAUCCUUUGAUCCGGAGAUGUCUGAAUGGGGGAACCCACCUACUUUAAGGUAGGUAUUGCAACAUGAAUACAUAGUGUUGCAAGGCGAACGAGGGGAAGUGAAACAUCUCAGUACCCUUAGGAAAAGAAAUCAAUUGAGAUUCCCUCAGUAGCGGCGAGCGAACGGGGAUCAGCCCAUUAAGUUAUGUGUGUUUUAGUGGAACGCUCUGGGAAGUGCGAACGUAGAGGGUGAUAUUCCCGUACACGAAAGGGCACACAUAAUGAUGACGAGUAGGGCGAGGCACGUGAAACCUUGUCUGAAUAUGGGGGGACCAUCCUCCAAGGCUAAAUACUCCUGACUGACCGAUAGUGAACCAGUACCGUGAGGGAAAGGCGAAAAGAACCCCUGUGAGGGGAGUGAAAUAGAUCCUGAAACCGCAUGCAUACAAGCAGUGGGAGCACCUUCGUGGUGUGACUGCGUACCUUUUGUAUAAUGGGUCAGCGACUUAUAUUCAGUAGCGAGGUUAACCGUAUAGGGGAGCCGUAGAGAAAUCGAGUCUUAAUAGGGCGUUUAGUUGCUGGGUAUAGACCCGAAACCAGGCGAUCUAUCCAUGAGCAGGUUGAAGGUUGGGUAACACUAACUGGAGGACCGAACCCACUGUCGUUGAAAAGCCAGGGGAUGACUUGUGGAUAGGGGUGAAAGGCUAAUCAAGCCUGGUGAUAGCUGGUUCUCCCCGAAAGCUAUUUAGGUAGCGCCUCGGACGAAUACCAUAGGGGGUAGAGCACUGUUUCGGCUAGGGGGUCAUCCCGACUUACCAAACCGAUGCAAACUCCGAAUACCUAUGAGUACUAUCCGGGAGACAGACUGCGGGUGCUAACGUCCGUAGUCAAGAGGAAAACAAUCCAGACCGCCAGCUAAGGCCCCAAAAUCAUAGUUAAGUGGGAAACGAUGUGGGAAGGCAUAGACAGCUAGGAGGUUGGCUUAGAAGCAGCCACCCUUUAAAGAAAGCGUAAUAGCUCACUAGUCGAGUCGGCCUGCGCGGAAGAUGUAACGGGGCUAAAACUAUGUGCCGAAGCUGCGGAUGUAUACUUUGUAUACGUGGUAGGGGAGCGUUCUGUAAGCCGAUGAAGGUGUGUUGAGAAGCAUGCUGGAGGUAUCAGAAGUGCGAAUGCUGACGUGAGUAACGACAAAACGGGUGAAAAACCCGUUCGCCGAAAGACCAAGGGUUCCAGUCCAACGUUAAUCGGGGCUGGGUGAGUCGACCCCUAAGGCGAGGCCGAAAGGCGUAGUCGAUGGGAAAAUGGUUAAUAUUCCAUUACUUCUGUGUAAUGCGAUGAGAGGACGGAGAAGGCUAAAUCAGCCUGGCGUUGGUUGUCCAGGUGAAAGGAUGUAGGCAUGUAUCUUAGGCAAAUCCGGGGUACUCUAUGCUGAGAUCUGAUAGCAAGCUGUACUUGUACAGCGAAGUGGUUGAUGCCAUGCUUCCAGGAAAAGUCUCUAAGCUUCAGUUACACAGGAAUCGUACCCGAAACCGACACAGGUGGUCAGGUCGAGUAGACCAAGGCGCUUGAGAGAACUCUGCUGAAGGAACUAGGCAAAAUGGUACCGUAACUUCGGGAGAAGGUACGCUGUUGUUGGUGAUGGAACUCGCUUCCUGAGCUGACGACAGCCGCAGAAACCAGGCCGCUGCAACUGUUUAUUAAAAACAUAGCACUCUGCAAACACGAAAGUGGACGUAUAGGGUGUGAUGCCUGCCCGGUGCUGGAAGGUUAAUUGAUGGGGUUAGCGUAAGCGAAGCUCUUGAUCGAAGCCCCAGUAAACGGCGGCCGUAACUAUAACGGUCCUAAGGUAGCGAAAUUCCUUGUCGGGUAAGUUCCGACCUGCACGAAUGGCAUAAUGAUGGCGGCGCUGUCUCCAGCAGAGGCUCAGUGAAAUCGAAAUCGCUGUGAAGAUGCAGUGUACCCGCGGCUAGACGGAAAGACCCCGUGAACCUUUACUGCAGCUUGACACUGAACUUUGACCUUACUUGUGUAGGAUAGGUGGGAGGCUUUGAAGCUGGAACGCUAGUUCCAGUGGAGCCGUCCUUGAAAUACCACCCUGGUAAUGUUGAGGUUCUAACUUUGUCCCGUGAUCCGGGACGAGGACCGUGUCUGGUGGGUAGUUUGACUGGGGCGGUCUCCUCCUAAAGAGUAACGGAGGAGUACGAAGGUGCGCUCAGCGUGGUCGGAAAUCACGCGUAGAGUAUAAAGGCAAAAGCGCGCUUAACUGCGAGACCCACAAGUCGAGCAGGUACGAAAGUAGGUCUUAGUGAUCCGGUGGUUCUGUAUGGAAGGGCCAUCGCUCAACGGAUAAAAGGUACUCUGGGGAUAACAGGCUGAUACCGCCCAAGAGUUCAUAUCGACGGCGGUGUUUGGCACCUCGAUGUCGGCUCAUCUCAUCCUGGGGCUGAAGCAGGUCCCAAGGGUAUGGCUGUUCGCCAUUUAAAGAGGUACGCGAGCUGGGUUUAGAACGUCGUGAGACAGUUCGGUCCCUAUCUACCGUGGGCGCUGGAAAUUUGAGAGGAUCUGCUCCUAGUACGAGAGGACCAGAGUGGACGAACCUCUGGUGUACCGGUUGUGACGCCAGUCGCAUCGCCGGGUAGCUAUGUUCGGAAGGGAUAACCGCUGAAAGCAUCUAAGCGGGAAGCCUACCUCAAGAUAAGAUUUCCCUAGGACUUUAUGUCCUCUAAAGAGCCGUUCGAGACUAGGACGUUGAUAGGUUGGAUGUGGAAGCAUAGUGAUAUGUGAAGCUGACCAAUACUAAUUGCUCGUGAGGCUUGACU